AGAAAGGUCUUCUGGCUCAUGGGUUUAGAAUUCACAGGCCAUGAUCAGGUAUAGAACCAUUGCUUUCAGGCUUCUAUUGUGGAUCCAAGGUGGCAAUGAUGAGAAGUGCAUGGUGGGAAGGACACUUACCUCUUAGCCAGAAAAAGGAAGCAACAAAGGUCUCUCAUUCCCCUAAAGGACAUAUUCCCCAUGACCCCAAAGCCCUGUCCACUAGGCCCCUUCUAAAGGCUUCACUGCCCUAACAUCACCAAGAUGAUGAUCAACCGUUUAACCAUUUGGGUCUUUGGGGGACAUUUAAGAUCCCACCAGUGAGGUGGCUUAUCAGAUAGAAGCAUUUGCUGCACAGGCUUGAUGACAUGAGUUGACUCUCUCUAACCCACAAAUAUGGUGGUGGCUCUAAUCCCAGCGUUCCUACAAGAGAUGGCAGUCAAAGACAGGAGGAUUUCACAUCUGUGGCAUAGUCAGAGACGAGAUCUUGCCUGAAAACAAGAUGAAGGAAAGAACUGGCUUCCACAGUUAUGUGGUACCCCAUGAAUACAUGCAUACACACAUAAAUAAAAUGACAAAAGGAUUAAAGGUAAAAAUAUCGAAACUAUAUUGGCCCUUAGUAAUCUUCCUACACAUUUGUUUUUGUUAUUGUUUUUCUUUUUUUUCCUUUUUUGGGGAGUUUUUAUUUGUUUUGUUUUUUUGGUUUUUCCAAGACAGGGUUUCUCUGUGUAGCCUUGGCUGACCUGGAACUCACUCUGUAGACCAGAUAGGCCUUGAACUCAGGUCCACCUGCCUCAGCCUCUCAAGUGUUGGGAUGAAAGGCUUGCACCACACAUUUAUUUUUUAAGAUAAAGCUCUAACACACAUGAAUUUAAAAAAAAAAAAAGGCAUGUAACCAGGAGUUCAGACACAACUAUAUUGGAAGAGUGCCUCCAAAUAAAUUCACAUCUCUGAAACACCCUUAAGCCAAUGUACUCUAGAAUAUCUAACAAGUCGGUAGAGAAACACAUGAAGGGGCUGGGCACAAUUGGGUGCUCCUGUAAUCCCAGCUAUUUGGGAGGCUAAGGAGGGGAUCACUGGAGUUCAAGGUUUGGAGACAAACCUGGGCAACAGUGAGAUGGGAAGAAAAGAAAAAAGAGGAGUGGAAAGAGGGGAGAAGAGAGUUAAAAGCAGCUGGUAAGUUCAUUCACAGUGAGAGGUGAGGUCACACAGAUUGAUCCGGGUCUCCAAGAGAGCUAUGCGCUCAUCAGUCCAUACUUAUCAGAUUGGUACAAAUUAGAAAUUUGAUCCUGCAAAGGUCAGCGUGGACUCAGGAGGCAAGAUCCCUCCCUGUGUCUGCUGGCUACAGGCAGCCUUCAGGAAACUAGAACGAGCCUACCUCCUGGAC
rnacentral:lncRNA from 1 species